GACGAACGCUGGCGGCGUGCCUAAUACAUGCAAGUAGAACGCAGUUUGAACGGGGGAGUAACGCGUAGGUAACCUCCUCAUAGCGGGGGUAACUAUUGGAAACGAUAGCUAAACCGCUACUGUGCGAUGGACCGGCGUUGGAUUGACGAGUUGGGGAGGUAAAGGCUCACCAAGGCGACGAUCCAUAGCCGACCUGAGAGGGUGAUCGGCCACACUGGAACUGAGACACGGCCCAGACUCCUACGGGAGGCAGCAGUAGGGAAUCUUCGGCAAUGGACGGAAGUCUGACCGAGCAACGCCGCGGGAGUGAAGAAGGUUUUCGGAUCGUAAAAUUCUGUUGUUAGAGAAGCGGUAUCUAACCAGAAAGCCACGGCUAACUCCGUGCCAGCAGCCGCGGUAAUAC
rnacentral:rRNA from 1 species